rnacentral:lncRNA from 1 species
CCCAGGGCACUUCUCCACUGGCAAAGGACGGACGCUGUCAAACCUGGCAGAGCAGAGGUCGUGAGUUCGAAACAUGAAUGUUCAAGUUGUACUCGGCAUCUAGAAGUUAUACAAAUCUUAUUGAGUAAUCUAGAAUAAGAAAAAGAAAACGUGUAAAGAUGGGAAUUAGCAAGCGAAGACGUGUAAAGAAGGGAAUUAGCAAGUAUAUAAGGGUCAAUUUAGUGAUUUUGGCUAAAAGCAUUGCUUAACUUUGCCAUUGAAAUUUAUAUUUAAAAUUGUAGGAAGGAAUCGUGCCUGCAAAAGCAAAAGGAGCGCAAGUAUAACUAAUAAAGAAGAGAGAAAAGGAUAAGAAAAUCGUAUUGCCAACUGAACAAACAUUUUCUUCUUCUAACCCAAAUCCAAAUGAGCUUCUUCACUCUCUUUCUCCACCUCUCUCACAAGCACUAUCCGCUUUGUUCAUGCAAGAUCUAAACAACUCACAAUCAAGGUACAUAACAUCUCUCUCUCUCUCUCUCUCUCUCUCUCUCUCUCUCUCUCUCACACACACACACACACACACACUAUAUCAUGAGAAGAAUUGGAUUCAAGUCUCGUCCAACUAACUUAUAAGGGUUUUGAUCGAAAAAUAAGUCGAAGCCGCAUAUGAGAAGGCAAAUUGACACACAUUUAGCAACUUAAGCUUUUUAGACUUUAUGCUUAUGGUUGAUGUGCAAAUACUGCUGCGUGGAUUUUCGAAGUGCGUGCAAUACAAUAACUAUUGUAGUGUGAAUUUGUGAUGCAUUAUAUGCUUGACUCCGAGACCUAAGCUUUAGUUAUAUAGAUAAAAAUAAGUUCAGAUUUUUUAGUAUAUUUUAUAGUUUUUACAAGUUCAAUGACCUGAAUCCUUCAACUAAGCCUCUGUUUGGCAAAUUUAUAAAUGGUAUUCAAAGAGUAAUAGUAAGAUGAAUAGUAAUGAGUCUUACGAAAUAUGGGAUAAUAAUGAGGAAUAAUUAUGAUAUGUGAUUGAAAUUAAUGUUUGACUUUGACUGAAUUUAUAAACGAUACAUAAAAUUGUAUCCAAAUAUUGGAGGCUAAAAUGUCGGAUUUGGCUUUAACAAUUUUUGAUGGAAUCUCGAGAAAUUUAACCGGUUCAACAAGCUAGGACCUAGCCUACACUUGUGGACCUCGUCACGCUCCUCUUUGUUAAUAAGUACACGUUUAAUAUUUCCAAAAGUAGCAAAUUCUACAUUAGGUUCUUCUAUCCAUGUGUGGUGUUGUAGGAAGCCUUGGUACCAAAGAGCAAUGCAAAUGGCCGCACAGUGGAGGCCCUUUCCAAUAUCUGCUGAGAUUUCUACAACAAAUGGCUCGAUUUGGAAAACAACUUCGAAAACAAUAGAAACUUCGACAGCAAAUUCCAAUAAACAGAAGCUCAGAAAAUGCAAAUCUGUAAGAUUGGCAACUUCGUUUACACGAGCUUGUUUAUGUGCUCCAAUCUCUUCUUACCAAGAAGUUUCUCAAACUGAUUUUGCACCAAGAAGAAGUUACAGUUAUCCAAGAUCUUCUUCGAACACUUUUCCAGCCAUCUCACAAGAGAGAACCCCGAGUGCAAGAAUGAGCAUGGAAGGAAGGAGAAUUUUUCGCGGAAAAUCUUUGACAGAUGAUGUUCUAAUGAGGAGAUUUGUUAUUGAAGAAGAAGCAAUGAUGCAAGUUAGAAGAAGGAAUGAGAUGGAAAUUAUUAGGAAGAGAAGUGCUAUGAGAAGAAAAAAACUUGGGCCUAGUCCCUUAAGUAAAAUGGUUGUUUUAGUCGAGAGUGAGGAGGAGGAACAAUGUCAAGAGCAUUAAAGAAGAAAAGUAAAUGUGUGUAGUUUCUUCCACUUUUAUCUUUAGAAUUUACUUGUGGAUUGUGUCUUUAAUUUUAUGGGUGAUUGUUUGCCAUUUUUUAUUUUUUUUUCAGUAAUCAAAAUGUACAAGUUAAUGGCAAUGAACUUUUGGGACUGUUUUCUUUAAGUAGUUUCAAAAAUAUUUAUAAGUCGUCGUCGUAAAAACAAUUACAUUAGCACAAUGAACUCCACGUUCAAGAGAACGUCCAGAACAAGCCCCCCAGGGCACUUCUCCACUGGCAAAGGACGGACGCUGUCAAACCUGGCAGAGCAGAGGUCGUGAGUUCGAAACAUGGGGCUCUUGGAAGGCAAGAAUUUAUUCUUGGAAGGCAAGGGAACAUUUGGAAGGCAAGGAUUUAUUCUUGGAAGGCAAGUGGGAACUUGGAAGGCAAGGAUUAUUCUUGGAAGGUAAGGUGCAACUUGGAUUGACUUGCUUGGCACUUUGUCAGACCAGGUGGGGAGCGCUCGGACCCUGGCCAGUUGGAGGCACAUCCUGCGAUUAACCGGACUGUGUGAAGAGGGGCCGGAUCACAGACCCAAGAAUUAGUCUAGAAUAGGACACCUUGUAAAAAAAAAAAAA